UACGUAGGUGGCAAGCGUUGUCCGGAAUUAUUGGGCGUAAAGCGCGCGCAGGCGGUCCUUUAAGUCUGAUGUGAAAUCCCACGGCUCACCCGUGGAACUGCUCGGUAUACUGGUCGUCUUGAGCCUUCUAGGGGCGAGUGGAACAAAUGGUGGAGCGGUGAAAUGCGUAGAUAUCAUUUGGAACGCCAAUGGUGAAAACAACUCGCUGGGGAAGUGCUGACGCUGAGACACGAAAGCCAGGGGAGCGAACGGG
rnacentral:rRNA from 1 species